rnacentral:rRNA from 1 species
AUUGAACGCUGGCGGCAGGCCUAACACAUGCAAGUCGAGCGGAUGAAGGGAGCUUGCUCCUGGAUUCAGCGGCGGACGGGUGAGUAAUGCCUAGGAAUCUGCCUGGUAGUGGGGGAUAACGUCCGGAAACGGGCGCUAAUACCGCAUACGUCCUGAGGGGGAAAGUGGGGGAUCCUCGGACCUCACGCUAUCAGAUGAGCCUAGGUCGGAUUAGCUAGUUGGUGGGGUAAAGGCCUACCAAGGCGACGAUCCGUAACUGGUCUGAGAGGAUGAUCAGUCACACUGGAACUGAGACACGGUCCAGACUCCUACGGGAGGCAGCAGUGGGGAAUAUUGGACAAUGGGCGAAAGCCUGAUCCAGCCAUGCCGCGUGUGUGAAGAAGGUCUUCGGAUUGUAAAGCACUUUAAGUUGGGAGGAAGGGCAGUAAGUUAAUACCUUGCUGUUUUGACGUUACCAACAGAAUAAGCACCGGCUAACUUCGUG